UGAAAAUACAUUAAUGUCAGAUAAGUAAACAAAAAGAAACUAAUCAAUAUCAAGAAAAACAUAAAACAGCUGAUCCUUGUAUAUAGGCACAAAGUAACCAAAAUCUGGAACAUGAAAGAUAAUUGUAUGUGGCAACUCUAUCAGACCAAAGUAUUGCCUGAGAAAACUAGAAAUGAGAAAUACUGCGCAAGACAUCCAGAAACAACUAUAAGAAUCAGACCAAAAAAAUAGCAGGAACUAGAUCCUACUCAUCGUCAUUUUUCCUCCCCACUGAAGUUAAGCGGCAAUAGAUGGCUUAGAUGCUGCAGAGAGUCUAGACCUCUUCUUAGCCAAACUCUCACUACGUCGUUCUCUUUGUUCCUUCAACCUACUAGCAAGAAGCUUCUGAUAAUCAGCUGCCUCUGACUUAGCCUUGGCAAUUCUCUUCUUCUUGUCAGCAAUUCUCGCUCUCUUUCUUUGUAAUGUCAGGGGUGUCACUAACCUCUGAAUCUUAGGAGCUUUGCUUGCAUUUUUACCAGUUUUGGUGGUGAAAUUUCUGCGGUAAGUGUUGACAUACUUCCUGACAUCAUCUUCCUUGGAAAGAUUGAAGAGCUUUCUGAUCUUGGAAGCCCUUUUGGGUCCUCUCAUUCUAGGUUUUUCAGUGUCUGUCAGUCCAGGAAGAUCAUUCUCUCCCUUCUUCACAAUAACCAAAUUCAGAACUGAAAGGUCAGGACUGACAAUGCAUCCACGGACAGACUUCCUUCGUCUUUCACCAUUACGCCUACCAUAACCACGGAAGCAAGGAGUGCCUCUGUGAAGCAGAAGACGAACACGGCCUGGAGUUAACACUCCCUGCUUCAUUGGGAAACCUUGCUUGUCACAUCCUCCCAUAAUCUUGAAAACGUAUCCCUUGAACUCCUCUCCCAAAGCAUCUCCGCUAACCUCCUGGGAGAUCCUCUUGUCAAAGAAAGCUCGGAGUUUCUGGUCAUCAUCGAUCUCGAGCUUCUUCUGG
rnacentral:misc_RNA from 1 species